CGACCAUAGAGCAUUGGAACCACCUGAUCCCAUCCCGAACUCAGCAGUGAAACGAUGCAUCGCCGAUG
rnacentral:rRNA from 1 species